CUUUUCCUCUUCAAAUCUCCAAGCCCUCGUCAUCCUUCUUUUCUCUUUCUCAUUUUGUGUUUCUUUUUUUUUUUAAUUCCAAAUUCUUCUCUUUCUUCUCAUUCUUUCCUUCAAUUGCUAACAUAUUUCCUUAGAAUCUCUUAAAACUUCAAAACCUACAGAUGAUUGAAGAUCCACUACAAGUGCACAUUGGUAGGUGGAAAGUGUACUUCUUAUGAAGUGGCAGAGUCUCGUUACUUGAUUUAAGUUCAUCAUCGAAUCUGGUUUUGUUUCUCUUAACAUUUACCAGUGAUUUUUCUUUUCCUCUUGAUGUUAUUUUUCUUGCUGGCUUGUAAAGAUCACCAGAUUUCAAUUUCCGUGUAAAUGCAUACCAGUAGUAUAUUUGUGUUCCAAACAUCUGUGCUUAUAUUGUUUCAUUAUCCCCCUUUCGGGAGUAAUCUUGCAGCAGUCUUUGACUCAAUUUUGCAAAGAAGGGCUUCCAAAUUAGUUGUUUUGGUCUUCUAGAGUGAGUACAAUUUGGAUAUUUUGUACUAAUUUUAGGAUUUCUUUAAUCUAAAGUCUCUCUCUCCCAUAUGGAUUAAGUUUCAUUGUUCGUAAAUGUUGGAGCCAAUUUCUCAUUUGACUUCACCAUUGAUUAGAUUUGCUAAUGUUGCAAUUAAGGAGGUUGUUAGAGAUGUUAACUCCAACUUCACUUGCCUUGCAAGGAUGAAACUUCUUAUUAAGAUCCAGAGUUCAAAUUAUAGUGGAAGGGUGGGGUGGUUGGAGGUGAUUUUUUAUAGUUGUUUUUCCAAAGAUUUCUUUUCAGACCUUUUUCAUUUCUCCUAUUAUAUUAUUUUAUAUGCUAAGAAAACCUUGGGGGGGGGGAAAGAAGAUAGCUUUUUCUUGUCACUUUAAUCCUUAAUGCAGAGAAUAUAACCCUCAUUUACUUGCUGAAAAAGUUGUCCAUUCAUCUUGCUUUCAAGAUCAUGAUGGUACACUUACUUCCAUCGUUGAAAACUUGACCUUACUUGAUUUCAUUUCUAGGGAGGUUUCUUCUCCAUCAUUUUUCUUUUUGAAAAAUUUUUAUUUUCUAAGGAUUAGAUUUAAUCUUAAUGAAUUUAUUGCUUUUUUCUAAUUAAAUCAGAUGAGAGCAGUUUUGCAAGACAUUUCUUAUCAUUUUGCUAUUGCAAUAGUUACUGGAAAACACAGAUUUGCAAUCAUGAAAGAUGUGAGAAAUGAUAAGAAAUGUCUUGCAAAAAUGUGCAGAGCCAAGGUAUAUUCAUGUAAAAAAAAUGAAUAUUUUGGAGUAUUUUCAAAGUGGGACUCAUUUUAGCUAAUGAAUACUUAUUAGCGGGUUUACAAUUUUGUUAAAUUAUCAGAGCUUUAUUAUGCCAGCAAUACACUAUAUAACUACCUACACUACCUGCCAAAGGUGUUUUUAUUAAAUUUUAGACAAGAAUAAUGAGUUUUCUUGCCAAAUUAUGGUAAGGGUGAGUAUGAGAAAAUUUAGUCCUCGGGGAAAAUGCCAUAUUCACAUUUUUACAUGGAAAAUGUAAGUUUUUCGUUUUGUUAGUUGUGUACAUUGAUGGCAUGUAUCUGGUAACAUGAAAUAAUUGCUUAGAAUAAUAGUUUAUGCAAGUUUAUGGGGUCUGAUGCCAAGUUUAAGAGGGGUAGGGAAAUGUAGUGUAAGUGUUUAUUCCUUAAGUGAAACAGCUUCAAAUAAUGAGCUGUUUUUAUUUACUUGAUGAUAAUGUAAAAUAGUGAGUUACAUAAUGCUAUAGGGGUUGGGUAAAGGGGAAAGGAACUGUAUUACAAUGAGAUGAAUGCUUCGUAAAGGUAGUUAUUUGGAUAUGAAUAUGAUAAUAAUGCAUAAUGUUUUCAUCCAAAAAGGUGAUAGUAGUAAUUAUUUUUCUAUUAAGUUUGGUUCAUGAUGAAUGUCAUACUUAGUUUGCUUUAAUUAUGGUUGAUAUCUGUGAGAACCCGUAACUUUUCCAUUUUCUAGGUUUUCUUAUCUUCAAUGGCUUGUUUUCUGCACUUUCUGUAUCCGGAAAUUUUUUCCAGAUAAUUUUUACGAGUAAAUAUAGUUUUUAGAUGAUUUUUCUAAUAUCGAAUAGUUUUUGAGAAAUUAAGAGCGUAUACCGGACGUGGGACCCACUAGUGCAAAAAGUUCGGAAAAAUUCGGUCAACUAGGUUAAGUUUCGGAUACUGGGUUUAAUUUACCAGGUGUUAAGAGAUAAUUAGAGGAAGCUAUUUGGAUUGAUGUGAGAGGGAACAAAGUGAUAGACUUGCAUUAAAUAAGUGACAAGUGUCACCAUUUGAUUGGAGGAACUUGUAAGAUCACUAUUCAUUUUCUUACCAUUGACCAAAUAAAUCAAAAAUUCACCAAAAAUUCCUCAUUUUUGUCUUCCUCUUGGCCGAACCUCUUCCUACAAGAAAAGAAAGAAAAGCUUCCAAGUUUCUUGCUCCAAUCUUGCCCAAUCUCACAAACUAACCGUUUCAUCUUGAAUUCCUUCCAUAAAACCUCUUCAAUUAGUGUUAGUGAGUUGAUUUGUGGAGUUAUUUGAAAAGCUAAGAGGACCUAUUGCUCUCUCUCUCUCGUUUCUAAGGUGAGUUGUGAAGAACCACCCUCCUCCCUUAAUUGAUGCUUAAAUCAUGAUUAGUGGUAGUAUGAGAUGCAAUAUUAUGGAUUAUUUCUUGAUUUGUGGUUGAAGUGAUGAAGUUUUAUUAUUUUUGGGGAUUUUUCUGUUUUAAUAUAAGCAUGGUUGUGUGGCUAUCUAUGAUGAUUGGAAAUGGUAUAUAAUGACUCUAGGAGGUGGAAAAAGUGAUCAAUUGCAAUCAAUUUCUGUUUUGGAAGAAAUUUCAGAAAAUUAGGUUUUGUGAAGGAACAUUCUGCCCGAAUUUUUAGCUCCUAGUUAGAGGCCGAAUUGGCCUUGGCUUAAAACAUGAAAGUUGUAGGGAAUGACAUUUUAGAGGUGCCUACAAAAUUUCAGGUCAAUCGGAGUACCGUAGAGUGAGAAAAGUCGAAAUUACUAUUGUUGUUCUGGUUUUACCCGAAUGUAAGAAUUGCGCCUGUAAUUGGUUGUUUUAGCUGGAAUUGCUUCCGAAUUGGUUGUUGAGGCCUUCUGAUGAAAUUUAUCCCUGUUUCUUAGCUUUCAGCUGGUUUUGGAAUUUCUGGAUUUGGACUUGAAUAGCCUGAUUUAUGAUGUUUCCGCUAGAAUGCGUUCUGUGAAUCUGUUUUUGUAAUUCUGGUAUAGUAUCUCGCAUUUUUGACCUGGUUACACUCGAAACUGGGUUGAGUGACCUUCUGCAAUAUUGUAGCCCUAUCUCUUAGCUUCGAAACGGUGGGUCUUGCACCUUCAUCCGAUAAUCGUAGUGCCUUUGGCACUAUUACCGGAAAAUGAGGAUAAAAACUAUUUUUUUCAGGGCUAAAGCUAAAUCAUUUCCGGAUUUUUCUGGUUUCCUCUAUUGUUUGUGUAUGCUUAGGGAACCCUGUUUUGGUAGUAUGUAGAAUUGGUUUAUAACUUGUAAUCGAGUCUUAUUGUGUUUAUUUGAAUAGUUUUGGGCUUGACUUUCAUAUCCGGUCAUUUCCUAGCUAAAUGUUGUACUUGAAUGCCAUUAAGCCUAGUGAAUGGCUUUUGGGAAUGAGAUUAUUUUUGUACGAGAUGUUGGGACUGUUUUGAGGAAAUAAUGAAGCCAUGAUGGCUGGAAAAUAGGUAAACACAAGGGAUAUGCUGCCGAAAUUUUACUUGAAGGCUAGUUGGAUUUACUUGUGAUUUGAGCGAAGGACUUUUGGGUUGUUUGAGCCUAGGUCUUCAUUUUACCUUUUCGUUUCCAAAAAUUCAUGUUUUGCACCCUUGCUUUAAUCAUUAUUUGGCGAGGCAUACGACUGGUAGUCGAGUCUCACAUGUGCAUUCUGUAUACUCGAUUUUGAAAGUGGAACCUUCAAUUGUUUUCUUUGGAUUAUCUUAGGGUUUCUUGGUGAUUAAAGCUCUCUUUUGGGAGGUAUCUAUACUGACCCCGGUGAGUGUUCCACUACCUGCUACCCGUUAUGUGAAAUAUCUGAAUAUCUGAAUACUUGAUUUAUGACUAUUGGAGCCAAAUACUGUUUUGAUAAAAGGGAGGCGAGGGUGUACUUUAUCACACUCGUUCUCUGGUCUGUUCAUAUGCCAAUUUUGAACGCGUAUCUGAAUCUGCUAUCUGUAUCUGUUAUCUGUAUCUGGAUCUGUAUCUGUUCUGACGUCGUUUGGAAGCUUGUGUCCAACGACCUUUCUGUGACCUCUGAGCUCAACACCUGUGGCCAGUUACUCGAGUCGGGCCGGCAAGGGCCUGGUCGAUUAGAUAACGAACCACGGUAGUCUGUUUUGGGAUCUUUAGGUAUUGAGACCCUUGAUUCCGGGUAUACUCGAGUAUUGCCAUUUCUGAUCUGAUUGGAUUUCGGGCCCGGUGGGGUAUGUGAGGUGGAAGGAAUCGAAGAAAGUGGAGUCUACGGUAUUGGUUACUCCUUUAGCGUUGACGGAGUGUCAACUAUUAUUUCGAUCAAGCUUCGAUGAUGCUAAUGGAAAUUUGGCUCCUGAGAGCCACCUGUAUCCUUCUGAUUUGAAUCAUUGGUUCAUUUACUUUACAUCUGGCAUGUGUACCUGAUUUGUUAAAUGUGAAAUGCCAUGAUUUUACUGCUAUAUGUCUGGUACCUCAUUGAGCGCAAGCUCACCCCUUUCUGUUCCUUUUUGUUUUCCUUACAGGAAAAUACAUACUUUUGGACUGGAUUUGAC
rnacentral:lncRNA from 1 species